rnacentral:rRNA from 1 species
AGUCGAACGGUAACGACACUAGCUUGCUAGUGGGCGACGAGUGGCGGACGGGUGAGUAACGCGUAGGAAUCUACCUAGUAGUGGGGGAUAGCCAAGGGAAACUUUGGGUAAUACCGCAUACGAUCUAAGGAUGAAAGGGGGCCUCUCUUUGAAGCUCUCGCUAUUAGAUGAGCCUGCGUAAGAUUAGCUUGUUGGUGAGGUAAUGGCUCACCAAGGCGACGAUCUUUAGCUGGUCUGAGAGGAUGAUCAGUCACACUGGAACUGAGACACGGUCCAGACUCCUACGGGAGGCAGCAGUCGGGAAUAUUGGACAAUGGGGGAAACCCUGAUCCAGCCAUGCCGCGUGUAUGAAGAAGGCCCUAGGGUUGUAAAGCACUUUUAGUAGUGAGGAAGGCUCAGUAGUUAAUACCUACUGGGAUUGACGUUAGCUACAGAAAAAGCACCGGCUAAUUUCGUGCCAGCAGCCGCGGUAAUACGAAAGGUGCAAGCGUUAAUCGGAAUUACUGGGCGUAAAGCGCGCGUAGGCGGCUUGGUAAGUUGGAUGUGAAAGCCCCGGGCUCAACCUGGGAACUGCAUCCAAAACUGCCUAGCUAGAGUAUGGUAGAGGAUGGCGGAAUUUCCUGUGUAGCGGUGAAAUGCGUAGAUAUAGGAAGGAACAUCAGUGGCGAAGGCGGCCAUCUGGACCAAUACUGACGCUGA